rnacentral:rRNA from 1 species
AGGGUGUUGGGUUAAGUCCCGCAACGGGCGCAACCCCUAUCUUUAGUUGCCAUCAGUUCGGCUGGGCACUCUAUGGAGACUGCCACCUAAAGUGGAGGAAGGUGGGGAUGACGUCAAGUCAGCAUGGCCCUUACGUCCGGGGCUACACACGUGCUACAAUGGCCGGUACAAAGGGUUGCGAAGCCGUGAGGUGGAGCGAAUCUCAAAAAGCCGGCCUCAGUUCGGAUUGGAGGCUGCAACUCGCCUCCAUGAAGUCGGAAUCGCUAGUAACCGCAGAUCAGCUACGUUGCGGUGAAUACGUUCCCGGGCCUU